AAACAUAACUAUAUGGGAUAAUAUAUAGCUUUUCUGCUCAAUGGUAAGCUAAAUAGCCGCAGUACUCUGACUGUGCAAAGGUAGCAUAAUCAAUUGGCUUUUAAUUGAAGUCUGGGAUGAAUGAAGGUAUGGGUAGCAACUGUCUACUGCUGUAUUAUAUUGAAAUUAUUAAGUAAGUGCAAACGCUUACGCUCUAAAAAAGACGAGAAGACCCUAGAAACUUGUAUUAUUAUUUUGUUGGGGCGACAGAAUUACAAAUAACUAAUUUUAUUAGACAUGACGUUAACAGCUAGACUAAGUUACUCUAGGGAUAACAGCAUAAUUUUCAUAGUUUGUGACCUCGAUGUUGGACUAGGUAAAUAAUUUUUUAGAAGGAAAUUUAUAAUGCUCUGUUCGAGCUAAAGUGCCUACAUGAUCAGAGUUCAGACCGGA
rnacentral:rRNA from 1 species